CGCGGUCUCCGGUGGGGAGGCACCGAUUCAGGACUUAUUUGGACUUACCUUGUCUAAACAUCAGGACACCCGCAGCGACGGCUGCGGAGGGUUGAGGUCCCGACCACGGUGGAAAAUGGAGGAGGGCUGACCAAAUUUUGUUUCUUCCACCACAGUGCUG